GGGGUUAUAGCUCAAUGGUGGAGCACUUGCCUUGCAUGCACGAGGCCCUGGGUUCAACCCCAGCACCA
rnacentral:tRNA from 1 species